AGCGGUUUCAAAAAUAUUUUAUUGUCUGGAAUAGCUGUAAUGUCUCAGCUCCAUCCUCACAGCCUCCCUGCACACACGGAGGCGGAAGCGAUGACAGGACAACACCGAGGCAUCAAAAUUCACACCUGCAGAACGGGACGACAGCGGCGGUGUGGAGGAAGAGUGUAGAAAAAGCUCACCAGGGCACAGACCAACAGGACGAGGGGCGGGUGCUGCUGGGGGCACCGCAGCACGGAUGUUCACAUGGACUUUACAGCUCCACAUGGAGACCUCCUUCAUUCUGCUGUCAGCCAAGCACAGGGCAGGGAGGUCUGGGGUCCUUCCUGGUAGCCAGAGGAGUCUCACACAGGAUGCACUGGAGAAAGUGCCUUAUGCAUAGGUUCGCGUUCCAAAGGAACUAAAUGCUGGAUAUGCUACUAGAAUGUCCCAGAGCCCUCUCAUUGCACCUGCAAAAUCUCUAGUCCACCAUUUCACAGGGUGAUUCUCUGCUUCUAAGACACGGUCUCUCCUCUUUGCAAGAUGACACCAGAACAUCCUAGGUAACUCGGCUGGAGGAACCCAGGGAGCCCCUUGGGUGUCUUUUUCCCAGCCGGCUGCUUGCUCUGCACACAUGAGGAGGCCGGGACCACUGGCUGGGAUUGGCAUUGGCGCGUGGCGUGGCUUGCAUCUGAGAAUGACGUGGGGUAGGUCCCCAGCGGCACCUACCCUGGCGAUGGCAUCGUUAGAAGGUGACGGUCCUCCAGGGGGGCCCAUCCAGCCAGGGGUGCAGGUCAACACUCCCCCUGGCCUGACCCUCGGACGACAAUGGGACCCAGGGAUGUUGUCACUAUGCACAAGGAUGAGGCUGAGGACGCUGUCACAGCAGAGAGAGCCAGGCAGCUGGGCAGGGGUGGCCAGCGGUGACCAGAGGCUGGAUGGAGGUUGGGGAUCCCCACAUGGCCCCCCGAGGUGAACUGCCCAGGAGCCUGAUCUCUUGGUCAUGGCUUGGCAAGAUGGGUGAAGGGGGAGAGGGCCUUAAUCCUCAGCAACAGUCACCCACCCUUCUCCCCCGUAGUGCAGCUGGGGUGGCGUGCUGGUUGGGUAGCCCCAGAGGAGGGUUGGGCUGCUUGCGACCUCCAAGGGCCUGAGCUGCCUGUUGGAGCCAUGGUCUACUGGUGGUCUGGCGCCCUGGCUUGACCUGGUGGGCAGGAUGACAGAAGGCUUCACUGCCACCAGAGCUCUCUGUCCCUUCAGAGACCCUAGAAGACGGAAGAGAAGGAAAGAAAAUAUGAGUGUUUCGUCUCUUUAAGGCUACCAAGAGCUCAUUUUUCCCAGUGCCCUGUUCUUGUCUGCUGUCAUCACAUUCUAAUGGUAGGACUCAGGGGUCCCUGCAGAAAUGGCCAAAAAUCCAUGUGAUGAAGAUUUGGUCCCUGGGGUGUCUCUAUUGGCAGGUACUGCAACUUUCAAAAGGCAGAGCCUAGUAGGAGGAAGUGAGGUCACUGGGGGCAUGGCCUGGAUUCCAGUCUCUUCCUCCUCUGUGCUUCCUGAGCAUGAGGGGAGCAGUAUUUCACCGCAAUGUGCCACCGGCCAGGGCCCAGGGACAGUGGAGACACUGGACCACAGAUGGAGGCCUCUGAAAGUAUGAGCCAAAAAAUACUUUCCUCACAAGGAGAUCAUAUCCAGUACUUUGUCCCAGUCCCUGAAUGCUGACUCACAUUUCUAGUACCAGGGUCAGGAGAUACGAGAUGUGACGUAGCCAAGCAUGGUGGCCUGUGGACAGGGGCUGAUGCAGGAGGACCACAAGUUGGAGUUCCACCUGGGCAAGUUAACAAGACCUUCUCAAAACAUGACAAAAGUUGAGUUGAUUGACUAAUUUUAAAAUGCUGGUGAUGGGACUCAGCAGAAGUGUGACCCUGGGUGCAAUUCUCAAUGCUGAUUUUUAAAAAAGGAGGAGGAGGAGAUGGAGAAGAAGGAGAUGGAGGAGGAGAUGGAGGAGGAGAUGGAGGAGGAGGAGCAGAUGGAGGAGGAGGAGAUGGAGGAGGAGGAGACAGAGGAGGAGAUGGAGGAGGAGAUGGAGGAGGAGGAGGUGGAGGAGGAGAUGGAGGAGGAGGAGAUGGAGGAGGAGAUGGAGGAGGAGGAGAUGGAGGAGGAGAUGGAGGAGGAGGAGAUGGAGGAGGAGAUGGAGGAGGAGGUGGAGGAGGUGGAGGAGGAGGAGAUGGAGGAGGAGAUGGAGGAGGAGGAGAUGGAGGAGGAGAUGGAGGAGGAGGAGAUGGAGCAGAGCUGAAGCAGAAGAGGAAGAGAAGAAGGAAAAGAAAGAGAAGAAAGAGACAGAGAAGGAGGAGAAGGUGAAGAAAAGCGAAGAAAGAAGAAGAGGAAUAGGAGGCAGCAGUGGAGGAAUAGGAGGCAGGCACGUCCCUGAGCAGUCUUGUGGUACCAGAAAGCAAGGAAAUGUUCAAACACGAAAAGACAGGGUGGCAGAAGUCACCCUGAAGGAGCUCUCGGUGGCUAAAUCUGGAGUGAUUCCAACAAGAAUAUAAAAUAAAAUUGGAUUGUAACCCAGAGUACAAAAUCAAUAUGCAUUUAAUUAAAUGGCUGAAU
ensembl:lncRNA